GUAUUUUAAGGAUAUAUGAUCAUUGUUGCGUAUUAUAUGUAUGUUUGUAAGAGAAAAAAUUAAAUUAAAAUAUGUCUAGUGACCGACGACCACAUGUCGGGUAAUUGUUGCAAACUAUAUUACAUUUUAAAAUUUAAUUAGCAAGACAUUCGGAUAUAAAGUUACAAUUAGAUAUGUUUAUCAUUAACAGCAAAAGUUAAAAGUGAAGAUUUAUUUUGGUUAAUUUUUUUUGGGAAAUUCAUCCCUCCAAAAGCAAAAUUCAUUUAGAAGAACCAAAACAGUGAAAUACUAGCGGAAAAACUCUCUCCUUGUCUAUUACUCCAAAUUUACCAAAAUAAAUAAAAAUAACAAAAAAUUAAACAAAAAAAGUAAAAAUAUCAUAUUCCAGUACUCCACUAACUAAGAGAGAGGCAGAAAGCAUUCUACCCACCCAAAAUUUCCCGAAAAAAAAAAAAAAAAAAAAAAAAAACAUUCUACCCAAAACAUCAAAACCCCUAAUUUGUUCUGUCGUUCUUGUUUUUCACUCCAUUCUCUCUCUUUACUCACUCCAUCUCACUUACCAAGCUAGAUCCUCACCAAUUCUGCUUCACCUCAGGAUCAAGUGUUUUCCGUCAUUUAUUGUGGGGAAAUCUAAGCAUGGAUCAUAUUAUUUAUGAUGAACCUGUUUAUUCACCAGACGAAAUAAACUAUGAUUGUACACCAGAGGAAGAAGCCGAUGUUGCUAUUUCACCUGUAGUUACAAUUGAAAGCAAUAAUGUGGAUGUUGACACUAUGCAACAUGUACUUGCUGCUUUAGAUAAGAAACGGAGCUCAGUUUGGCUAGAAUUUCUCACACUUGACAAGGCAAAAUCUAGUGAUGGGAAACAAAGGUCAAUUUGCAAACAUUGCCAUAAAUCUUCCUUCAUUUCCGAUGCCCAUUAUGGAACCCAAAAUAUGCAAAGAUAUCUUAGAAAAUGCAGCGCAUAUGCGAAACAUUUGAAAAACCAAGAAGGAAACAAAGUCAUAUGACGAUAAAGAGGCCUCUUCUACUUUAGCAAAUGAAGAUGAUGGGUUUGUUGGUUCUUAUGUGGAUUGGGCUCCAACCGAAACACGUGCUUGAUGUCAACAAUUUUAGGGUGGAAUAUUGGAGUACAGUAGUUAGAAUAUAAGUUUGGUUGCUAUCUUUGUCAAUUAGAACUUGUAAUAUUGAACAUUUUGUUAUGUAAAGGUUGACGUGGAAAUUAUUGUACCACUUUUAUUUCUACACUUGUGAAAGUUGUGACUAAUUAGCAUUAAUUUGCUAUUGAACUAAUGUUUUGGAGCUUGAUUUUCAA